rnacentral:rRNA from 1 species
AUUGAACGCUGGCGGCAUGCCUUACACAUGCAAGUCGAACGGCAGCACGGGUGCUUGCCCCUGGUGGCGAGUGGCGAACGGGUGAGUAAUACAUCGGAACAUGUCCUGUAGUGGGGGAUAGCCCGGCGAAAGCCGGAUUAAUACCGCAUACGAUCCACGGAUGAAAGCGGGGGACCUUCGGGCCUCGCGCUAUCGGGUUGGCCGAUGGCUGAUUAGCUAGUUGGUGGGGUAAAGGCCUACCAAGGCGACGAUCAGUAGCUGGUCUGAGAGGACGACCAGCCACACUGGGACUGAGACACGGCCCAGACUCCUACGGGAGGCAGCAGUGGGGAAUUUUGGACAAUGGGCGAAAGCCUGAUCCAGCAAUGCCGCGUGUGUGAAGAAGGCCUUCGGGUUGUAAAGCACUUUUGUCCGGAAAGAAAUCCUUGACUCUAAUACAGUCGGGGGAUGACGGUACCGGAAGAAUAAGCACCGGCUAACUACGUG